rnacentral:lncRNA from 1 species
AAUUGUUUAAAAGAAAACAACACACGUAUAAAUGUCAUGUGUAUGACGCGCUUUUAUUCAUUUACCUUCAUCAAGAUCGCUCAGUGUCAAAUAUUUGAAAGCAUGAGAUGUAUAGAACACAAAACAACACUUGAAGAGCUAUACGACCACAAAAUCCUAACGAAAAGCCCAACCCAUCUUAGGUCAACUUUGCAUGAGGAAUUUCAAACCUUAAUAUCAAAAUAAUAUCAUUUUUU